rnacentral:rRNA from 1 species
CAUUCAAAGAGUGCGUAACAGCUCACUGGUCGAGUGGACAUGCGCCGACAAUACACGGGGCUAAGCUGGACACCGAAGCGGCGGGAUUUUAAUUCAUUAGAAUCGGUAGGGGAGCUUCCCAUGGGCGGAGAAGCCGGAGGGCGACCGACGGUGGAGCGCAUGGGAGUGAGAAUGCUGGCAUGAGUAGCGAGAGACGAGAGAGUAACUCGUCCGCCGUGAACCCGAGGUUUCCUGGGCAAGGCUAAUCCUCCCAGGGUCAGUCGGGGGCUAAGGCGAGGCCGGUAGGCGUAGCCGACGCGCAGCAGGCAGACAUUCCUGCACCGCGCACGCGGCGCUACGACCGACGGGGCGACGGAUGGGGGUGGCUCGGCGGGGUUCUGGACGUCCCCGUGAUGGAGCGCGGCCCGCGGACCAGGGAAAUCCGGUCCGCAUCAAGGGCGAGGCUCCGGACGAAGCACUUAAGCGAAGCGAGUGAGCCCGAGGUCCCUAGAAAAACCCCUAGGCAGGCGCGUGCGCGCCCGUACCGCAAACCGACACAGGUGGGUGGGUAGAACAUACCGAGGCGAUCGGGUCAACCAUGGUCAAGGAACUCGGCACAAUGGCCCCGUAACUUCGGGAGAAGGGGUGCCCGCGCGUACGUGAACCGGCUUGCCCGGGGAGCGGAGGCGGGCCGCAGUUGAGAGGCCCAAGCGACUGUUUACCAAAAACACAGGACUCUGCAGAAGCCGCAAGGCGACGUAUAGGGUCUGACGCCUGCCCGGUGCCGGAAGGUCACGCGGAGGAGUUAGCCGCAAGGCGAAGCCCCGAAGCCAAGCCCCGGUAAACGGCGGCCGUAACUAUAACGGUCCUAAGGUAGCGAAAUUCCUUGUCGGGUAAGUUCCGACCUGCACGAAAGGCGCAACGACUUGGGCGCUGUCUCGACCAUGGACCCGGUGAAAUUGCACUGGUCGUGAAGAUGCGACUUACCCGCGGAAGGACGGAAAGACCCCGUGAACCUUCACUGCAGCUUGGCAUUGGCCGCUGGUCCCGCGUGUAGAGGAUAGGCAGGAGGCUAAGAUCCGGAGGCGCCAGCCCCCGGGGAGCCGCCCUUGGAAUACUGCCCUCGCGCGACCGGCGUCCUAACCCGAGGCCGUCAACCGGCUCGGGGACCGUGCCAGGCGGGCAGUUUGACUGGGGCGGUCGCCUCCUAAAGGGUAACGGAGGCGCGCGAAGGUCCGCUCGGGACGGUCGGCAACCGUCCUUUUGAAUGCAAGAGUACAAGCGGGCUUGACUGCGAGGCCCACAAGCCGAGCAGGUGCGAAAGCAGGCUCUAGUGAUCCGGCGGCCCCGAGUGGGUGGGCCGUCGCUCAACGGAUAAAAGGUA